UUCUGGAGACAAAAACUCCAGUUUGAACAGCAGAUCCGAGCAGAGUGUUCGUCGAGCAGCUGGCAAUAGCGAUACCAUGUCUCUGUUAAAUGGCAUGUUUGGAUUAAAGGAAGGGCGAUUAACGCGAGGCAAGCGGCUUCCUGGACCUAGUGGAGUCCCGGUGUUUGGGUCUUCACCGCAACUGGGAAAGUUUACCAAGAUUUGGGAUGGCUUUAGCGAACUCCACGAAAAAUACGGCAGUCUAGUGGGAGUGCAGAUUGGAAGCCGAUAUUGCCUGCUGGUCAACAACGUCGAAGACAUCAAAGAGAUUCUCAUAAAUAGAGCAACCAGUUUUGCAAACCGCCCGGACUUCCUCCGGUUUCAAGCAAUUUUUCGAUGGAACCGCGAUCUUUCUGUCGCUUUGUCCGAUUGGUCUACAAAACAGAAGACCCGACGCGAUAUCCUUUAUGGACCUCUGCAUCCCAAGGGUGGCGUAUACCUUCAAACGAAGAUUUUCGAUAGUAUUUCAUCGCAGACUAUACUCCUGAUAGAUUUCUUUAGGGAGAAGAAUGGUGAACCCUUAGAGCCGCGUUGGCCCAUCCUAAAUGCUAUCGGAAACGUGUUUUACGAUUUUUUUUGCAGUAAAACGUUCGACUGGAACGAUGCUGUGUACUUGCGCACGGUGAACUUGUAUAAUGAAAUCUUUCACGAGCUAUUUCAAGGCUUUGCCAUUGAUUUCAUGCCAUGGUUAAAGCCAUUCUAUAAUAAACGACUCAAUGAACUGCAUGCGUUGGAAGCUGAAAUCUCGAAGUUUAAUAGCGGUAUGAUCACGGAGCACGAGCAAAGCGCAGCAGCUUACGAAGUUGAACCUCGGGAUAUAUGCGAUAUCCUUGUGCUGUAUAUAAACAGCGCGGCAAAUUGCGAUGCAGUGAAGAAGAUUAAACUCGAUAGAACUGACCUCGCGGUGAUCAUUGGGGACCUCAUCGGUGGUUUUCCCGUCGUAAGCAACAUGGUCCUUUGGGGAAUUUAUAUGCUUGCAAACGAACCCGAAGUCCAGAAUAAGUUGUUCGAAGAGUACGAAGUUGUUUGCGGUUCAGGAAUCCCGGGUGCUGACCAUAAGAAGUCGUUGGUCUACACCGAGGCGACUAUGUACGAAAUCCUUAGGAUGGUGUGCUCGCCCAUAAUUCCACACGUAGCCACGCAAAAUACAGAGCUUCAAGGUUAUCAUAUUCCCAAGGACACAAUGGUAAUGUUCAAUAUCUGCGACCUCAACUUCAAUCCAGAACUUUGGGACAAGCCAGCUAAGUUUAUGCCAGACAGGUUCAUUUGCGACGGGACCCUACUCAAGCCAGACCACUUCUUGCCCUUUGGUACUGGCAAGCGAUCAUGCAUGGGCGAUGGUCUAGUUCGCCACAUCGUCCACUUGAUUCUGUCAGCAUUGAUUGGACAGUUCCGAGUCCGUCUUGCCCCUAGUACGCCAGCGGUUGAUUACUUGGAUGCACGCGGCCGAGUUAUCAUGGAGACAGAACCAAAAUUGAUGUUCGAGCAGAGACUGUCUGGAAGAGACUGGUGUCUUAUGACAGCUUCUUACAAGUUACUACGCAGCAAACGCAGGAGCUAAACAGGUGCAGGAGUUUAUCCAUUAGCAUAUGUGGGAAGCACUAUCAACAACUUUCGAACCCAACUUCAAUGACCGCUGACCGAAACACCAUUUGCUGAAAACAACUUUUUCUCCAGGAGCUCGUUAUACUUACAAUGAACAGAAGACUACGAAGGGUGAAGCCGCUGAUCAAUGGGUGAACAGUUCUGCAGAAAUCAUGCAGCAUGUGCCACUACAUUUAGUUGACAUUAUAAUAAAGCUGGACAUAUUGGGCGUUUUCGUAUAUUGAGUAAUGGUAAAACCAAAUUUUACUUUAAUUAGGUUCAUUUCAAAGAGUCGAUAUUACUACAAUAAACUGUAUUCUGCGAUAAUAUAGAAUUUGGCAUAAUGAUUUUUUAUCGGUUUUUAAUACUUCUUAAAUAAUUUAUCCUGUAUGUAAUCAUGGGAACCUUUACACCCGCCAAAACUUUAAAAGUACCCUCGCCUUAAAGGAACAGGUGUAAGGGCAUAAGUGGCCUUUGGAGAGCAGCUGAUCUAUAAAAGAAGUUUUAUUUAAAUCACAAAAUAUGUAAACAAUAAAUCAUUUUCUAGAGCUAUUAAUUGGAUCUGGGUCCACAUUGUGUAGAUCUUUGUAUCGUAUAUAUAAUUAACAGCAUUGAAUAAAUGCUUUUGUUUAUCACUGUUAGUACCAGAAAUCAACAUAUUUGUUUAUUAAAUAGAUGGGCUUGAUAACAAUCAUGUACUCUAAAGUAAAAACAUGGCCUUACAUUUUAACAAUUCUCAAUAUUAUGCAAAGUAGCAUUCUAAUAUAAUUAUGUUUUAACAGCUAAUACGAGCGAAAAUUAACAGUGAGUUGGCUCAAGGCGGACAACAGGCGUUGUGUGAUCCGGGCAAGUCCGAACAGCGGCUUCUUGGGUGGCAGACUCUUAAUAGUAUAGCACUCUGACAGUAGUACUUACAUAGCUCGUUUAGCCAUGGAAGAGAAAUCAUCGUAUCCGAUUGUUCGCGAAGUUGGUGAAAACUAUGAGAUUUCAGUGGAAGAUGCAACAUGCUUUUUGCAUCAGUGCUGGUGUAAGCAGGAAACUACCUCAAUAAAAAGCGCCGAGGACAAGCUAGUAAAGUGUAGCACAAUGGCGAGACGGGCAGUUCAAAAGAUGCUUCAUACGCUGAACAUUGGUACUGAUAAUAGAGAAGCUAUGCUCGAUGCGCACGCUAUACAUUAUUUAGUUAGACUUGCAUAUUUUGGAACAACUGCGUAUAAGGAACCAAAACUGAAGUUCUUUGUCGAUGAUGAAGUCGUAAACAAUGCGCGCAAGGAAACUAUAAAAGAACUUCAAAGUGAGUACGGUGCUUGUAUAGGAGAGGUACAAAUACAGUGCAUCGAUGGAGCAAUCCCUGUGCACGAGGGGGUUAUUAGCCUAUUUAAAGUCGCGUCAAGCGGCACAUCUACAUUGCCGAUUUCCAAGCAGCAUCUCUCUGUCGUCACAGACCUACUGUAUAACGGCAAAACGUCGUUCAAACGCUCAGAGUUGGCAGCUGUCUAUGUAGCAACCACCUUUAGCAACUUCAAGGAAGUCAAGUUUUUGGUUGAUGAGUUACGACGCACAAUUUCCAACAAUUGGAAAUCAGCUCUUUCAAUUGACUGCAUUCGAGCCUUAAAUUCAGUAUAUAUGACGAUACUGUGCUCACAAAGUGACUUUGUUGCGGACGAUAAUAGGGUUGAAAUUGUUGCUGCCCUUGAGGCAUGGGCAGAAUCGUCACUAGCGCGGCAGACCGUAAAAUACAGAUUAGUAUUUUUGCUAGAAAAGAACAGCACUCCUAAUCGAAUCAAAGAUUACACUAAGUUCAUUUAUUAUAACGGCUACAAAUUUGAUGGGACAUUGUGGACGGAAUCAGAGUUGCAUAAAGAAAGCUCCAAGCGGUUCACCUAUACAAAUGCGGUUGUUAAUUCGGAAGGUGAUAGAAUUGUGUCUGUGAGACCUGGCCCAAUAGGCAUACUUUCCACCGUAAAAGGUUUCACCCGCAGCACCUACUUGCCGCAUGAUCCUCUUGGGUACGGGUUCCCGUAUACGUUCCAACAAUAUCCUUAUGUAUGUCUAGUGUUUAACAUUUACGAUGAUGAAUUAAAGCAUUAUGGGACUGAGCUUUGGCAAUGGAAAGAGCAAGCAACGUUUGAGCCAAUCAAAACACUACCUAUGUGGGAAUCAGUGGGCAACAUGGUCCGCAUCCAGGAUGAUUGUUUUUAC